rnacentral:lncRNA from 10 species
AUUUUCGCUUCCCCAGGUCGCGGCGGCGGGAGCAACAAGCAGCGGCUCGUGAGUCCGCGGCUCGCACCCAGGGGCGCCCGCACGUGCGGCUAGAACGUCCGAGUCGGGGUCCGGGGCGGGGGGCGCAGGCCCGCGGCGGUAGGGGAGGAGAGCGGGCACCCGAGUCUCCAUCCUCAGGGUGGCCUGAAGGUUCCAGGAGGGCGUCCGGCGAAGGCACGGGGCUGCGACCAUCCAGUUAGCAGGGCUGGUGUGACUGUUGAGAGUAAAUGAAAAUUCGUUUUGUGACACCGACCACCUCCAAGGAAUGAAAGGAGCAGUCAGCCGAAACGACAGCAUUACUUGCGUCCUUACCUAAUUGGAACCUUAUCCGUGGCUGAGGGUGCCACCAUUGGAGGGGCCGCCGCCCCCUCUGACACCACCUGGCGCUCCGCUCCAUUUAGGAGCUAGAACGAAAAGGAGGCCCAUCCCCCAGUAAGUCACAGCCCACGCCAAGAUGAGUUCUGGAGCCUGUGCGACCGAAGUUUCUUCACCGCAGGGCGAGGUGGACAAGGGUGUGAGUUACUUUGACUUCAAGACGUCUCAGUGGCGGCUGGUUCUGGAGAGAGGCUUUAUGCUGGAGCACUUCCAGCAAAGUUCGGCUGGGGCCUCCUUAACUCACUGGCUGGUCACCCUUGGCCUCGGUUUUCAACCAAAGCCUAAGGCCUCAGUUUUCAACGCUGUAAAUGGAAAUAAAUGAGAGAAGAAAGUACAGCCCGUGUGACAAGUGCAGCAAGCAAUGCAACUUCCUUGGGACCUACCCUUUGUGGUCCCUUGCUUUAAAAGUAUAGAUUCACAUUUAGUUAGACCUGUUUCUUCCUCGCAUGCAAUUUCACCAGUCUUUUCCCAGACUUCUGUACUCAACAGAGGAAGUUCCUUCCUGGGAGACCAUAGCUGUUUGUAUGUAAAGAGUUGCGAAAAAACAAAAGCAAAACAAAAAACUCCAACACCUCUCUGUCACAGAAGUAUUGAAUUAUAUAGACUGGAAAAAUGGAAGUAUCCAAGAAAACGCGUGUGGUAAGAAAAUGGCUAAGGUGCAGGAUUCUGUUUUGUGGCUCUGGUCUCAGAAAUAGACCUCACAUACACAUUAUUCCUUAUCCCCUCUAUUAUAAUACUCACUUUUUUUUUUUUUUAAGAGACAGGGUAGGCCGGGUGCAGUGGCUCAUGCCUGUAAUCCCAGCAUUUUGGGAGGCCAAGGCAGGAGGAUCACCUGAGGUCGGGAGUUUGUGACCAGCCUGACCAACAUGGAGAAACUCCAUCUCUACUAAAAAUACAAAAUUAGCCAGGUUUGGUGGCGCAUGCCUCUAAUCCCAGCUACUUGGGAGGCUGAGGCAGGAGAAUUGCUUGAACCCAGGAGGCGCAGGUUGUGGUGAGCCGAGAUUGUGCCAUUGCACUCCAGCCUGGGCAACAAGAGCGAAACUCUGUCUCAAAAAAAAAAAAAAAAAAAAAAGAGAGGGUCUUGCUCUGUCACUCAGGUUGUGCUAUCAUAGCUUACUGUAACCUUGAACUCCUGGCCUUAAGCGAUCCUCCUGCUUCAACCUCCCAAGUAGCUGGGACUACAGGCCUGUGACAGUGCCUGGCCCAGGCACUGACUUUCUUAUGUCAUAUAGCAAUGACCACUAAGGGAAAGUCUAUACAAACUAUAGAAUAGUUGUCAUUCUUUACCCAACCCGGGACACAAGUUAAAAACCUAGUAUUCAUUUUUUUUUUCCUGUACCAAAACAAUCAUCUUCCUUUAUUUUUCCUGGAGCGGGAAGAGGAGAGUGGAGAAGAAGGGAAGAAUGCAAAGUGUCACUUUGAACUUCUCGUUCACCACACACGUGGGAGUCCACUCAUGUCAGCAGCCUCCGUGCACAGGCCCCAGGUGAAAGAAAGAAUGAGGUCUAGUUGGACCAGCUAACACUGCCUGCCUUGUGUUUACGAAAGGCAGCUGCCUCUGUGGUGUGAUUUCAGGGGAGCCAGACAGGGCCGGGGCCACGAACCUGCAUCCUGCAUCCUAAGCACCUAUUGCCAUGCGUGAGGCUAACUGGAAACUCACUUGCUGGGUGCAGAUAGCUUCCAAACUAUUGUGAUGCUCAUGCUUGACUUCCCAAGGAACGUGUUUCAGGAAAGGCCAUUGCCCUCAUUAUGGUCUUUGAUAAGCAGGAAGAAGUUUGUUGUUCCUUUUUUUUCUUAAUGCCCUACUUCGUGCAACAUACAUCCAAUCAGUCAUAUCCUAUUGACGCUACCCCUAAAUAUCUCUGGGCCUGGCCCGUGCUCAGGGCACUGCCUUCAUUCAGUUACUGCACUUGCCUGCUGCCUGUGCUCCUGGUCUCCUGCUUGGACUCCCCCAGGCCAGCAGCCACACUACUGCCAAAAUCCAGUCGAAAAUUAACUUCAGGUAAAGCACAAUUCCAAACCUAACACUGCCCCCCUCAAAAGCCUCUCUGUAGCCUUCAGAAUAAAGACCAUAUUAUUUGACAAGACA